UUGGAGAAAUUUGAUCCUGGCUCAGAACGAACGCUGGCGGCAGGCUUAACACAUGCAAGUCGAGCGCCCCGCAAGGGGAGCGGCAGACGGGUGAGUAACGCGUGGGAACGUACCAUUUGCUACGGAAUAACUCAGGGAAACUUGUGCUAAUACCGUAUGUGCCCUUCGGGGGAAAGAUUUAUCGGCAAAUGAUCGGCCCGCGUUGGAUUAGCUAGUUGGUGGGGUAAAGGCUCACCAAGGCGACGAUCCAUAGCUGGUCUGAGAGGAUGAUCAGCCACACUGGGACUGAGACACGGCCCAGACUCCUACGGGAGGCAGCAGUGGGGAAUAUUGGACAAUGGGCGCAAGCCUGAUCCAGCCAUGCCGCGUGAGUGAUGAAGGCCCUAGGGUUGUAAAGCUCUUUCACCGGUGAAGAUAAUGACGGUAACCGGAGAAGAAGCCGGCWCUCU
rnacentral:rRNA from 1 species